CAAUAGCGUAUAUUAAAGUUGUUGCGGUUAAAAAGCUCGUAGUUGGAUUUCUGCUGAAGGCAGCCGGUCCAUGUUCGACAUGCGCAUCUGGAUUGACUUCGGCAUCCUCUCAGAUAACGAUUCUGUGCUUGAUUGCAUGGAGCGGAGUUUGAGACUUUUACUUUGAGGAAAAUAGAGUGUUCACGGCAGGCAAUCGCCCUGAAUAUAUUAGCAUGGAAUAAUAAAAUAGGAUCUUGGUUCUAUUUUGUUGGUUUCUAGAACGAAGAUAAUGAUUAAUAGGGAUAGUUGGGGGCAUUAGUAUUUAAUUGUCAGAGGUGAAAUUCUUGGAUUUAUGAAAGACUAACAUCUGCGAAAGCAUUUGCCAAGGAUGUUUUCAUUGA
rnacentral:rRNA from 1 species